GAUGAACGCUGGCGGCGUGCCUAACACAUGCAAGUCGAACGAAGCACUUUAGCUUGAUUCUUCGGAUGAAGGCUAUUGUGACUGAGUGGCGGACGGGUGAGUAACGCGUGGGUAACCUGCCUCAUACAGGGGGAUAACAGUUAGAAAUGACUGCUAAUACCGCAUAAGACCACGGAGUCGCAUGACUCAGUGGGGAAAACUCUGGUGGUAUGAGAUGGACCCGCGUCUGAUUAGGUAGUUGGUGGGGUAACGGCCUACCAAGCCGACGAUCAGUAGCCGACCUGAGAGGGUGACCGGCCAUAUUGGGACUGAGACACGGCCCAAACUCCUACGGGAGGCAGCAGUGGGGAAUAUUGCACAAUGGGGGAAACCCUGAUGCAGCGACGCCGCGUGAGCGAAGAAGUAUUUCGGUAUGUAAAGCUCUAUCAGCAGGGAAGAAAAUGACGGUACCUGACUAAGAAGCACCGGCUAAAUACGUGCCAGCAGCCGCCGUAA
rnacentral:rRNA from 1 species